UGAGGGGGAGGUAAUCAGAAUACUAUUUUUAUACAGUAUUGAAAAAAAUACAUUUUUUUAUUGUCUGAACUCACAAUCACCACCCAGCAGUUCACGCCUGCUCUAGGUAGCACCCACAUGAAGGCUAUAGCAUGAGCAAAGAACUAAUCCGCAGGGAAGCAAGCUGCAGGGCCAGCAGAAACCCUCCUAAUCACACAGAGGACAGCAGGCCACGUAAGCAGGUACACAGCACACAGCUAAAGCCACCUUUCAACAAGCCAGGGUGCCAGAGGACAUGAACCAACCCCAGCACUACAAAACUGCAUGUUCCCCAAAGAAACCUUUUGCUUCAUGCCCGUAAUUAACAUAAAAUAAGUAAAUUAUUUGUCUUUGUAUUUAGGAAAAUAAUCACGCUAAAAGUUGUACUUUAUAUGGAUUUUCAAAGGAAAGACUGAUUGUGCUUUUUGAAUUAAAAAAAAAAGAUAGGUGUCUUCCAACCUCAUUGACUUAACCCUUGUGGAAUAUAGCACUUCUAAACUAAAAACACACAUCAAAAGAAAGGUUAGUCCAGUGGGACAUUCAAAAUGUCUUCAGGUCUUACGAUUGGCUACUUCUACUGUUCUGGUUUUGUCAAAAAGAAUACAGAGCAGAGCUGCUGUCUACACUGUCUCCAAAUUCCCUCCAGAGUCAGGUCUGAAACUGCUGGGCACACUGGAUGGCAGUUAGCCGGCAGCAUGGGCCAGGCACCUCAAGCCAUCUGACUGGCUGUUACCUUGGAGGGUCAAAGUGUCCCCUCAACCUGCCUCCGUAACAAUUCUCGAAAGUAGUUCUUCCCCACCUCCGGCCACUUUGGUACAAAAACUUCCGUUUGUUUCAGCUGUUACCCAUUGCAAAUUUAGGAUGUUCUGGGUCUCAGACGCCCAAUCUACCCACUCCCGUAAGCAGUUGGCAGCUUCCAGGAGAACUAAGGCUGGAGGUCAAGGGUCGCACAGGGGCUCAAGCAAUGGGGCCAGUCUUCCUCCACCUGAUGGUCCACUGAGCCUUGUCCAGGGAGGAGACUGUCCCUUGGUAGGUGAAAAUUAAAUCUGUAACCUGUCUAGGUACAAUUCACACAAAUUAAGAAAAAAGAAACACAAAACAAAAAACCAAAACCGCGUCCAGUUUCACAGCUCAGUCCAGGCAAUGGAUCAACAGGCCCCGUGCUAGGAUCAGAUGUCACUCUGUGUCUUCAUUCCCGUCUCCUCCAGUCCUGCUCUCUCAAUAAUCCCUGCUGGAUGACAAGCUGUACCCCCAAAAGACAUGGGUUCAGGAAAUGCUCCCCAAAUGUUCUCCAAGGCAAAACCAAGGUGGCUGCAGGUCUGGUAGCAAGGAGGGCAGGAGUCUACCUAGAAAAAUGCACUUAAAUCCGAGUCAAAAAAAAAAAAUCAAAAGCCCUAAGUCUCACUCAACUCGCUGCAUCUUGCUGCUCCUCACCAAGGACCACUCAGGACUAGGGAGCAGCUGGCAAGGACGGAGCAGCCUCACAGGCUCUCAAAGCACGCGUCUCAACCCCUUCCUUCCCACUCUGGAAAAGCACUGUUCUAUCUUCAUCCAAGAGCUGGUAGAUUUGGUUUGUUUCUUUGGAACCAUCAAUAAAAAGAAGCAAACUUUUCCUGUUUUCCUCAUGUUUACCUAUGAGAGUGGCAAUCUUUUGACAGUUCAGUAGCACAUAGGCUGACUUGGCCAAAUGGACUUAUGAAUGCAUGCAUUCGGACUGCAUAUUGCUACCAAAAUGGAAUGUGGGAAUAUGCUAUGCACCUCAGGUUGAGAAAUGACCAAGAAAUCAAGAUCUAAAGGGUGAUAUAUAAUAUAUAUAUAUCAAUGCUAUUAUUCAUAAAAACCUUGUUUAGUAAUAAAAAAAUUGCUUUGUUUAAAUAUGAAUAUUAGAGUCUGCUUCUCAUGGUUAGGAAAUAAUAGUCUUUCUGAAAAGCAGAUGCCUUUUCUACUACAACUCCAUGUCCUGGGCCUCAUCUUCUGAGAAGUCAGACAUAGAACUCUCCGAUGAGCUGUCGCCAGUGCCCUCUUCCUGUUCCUUCAGGGCCUCUUCCGUUGCGUACUUCUGGAUGUACUCUUUAAUUUUCUGCUUGUACUCUUCUGGUCGGUGGAGGUACAUGGCUGCAGCGUCACCAUUGAGAGGAUCUAUGGGGUUAGGAUAGGCCAGCAACUGGGGCAGGAAGGACUCAAAUAUAUUGGUAAGAUCAUAGAGAGCUGUCCAAGUUUGAUUAAUUACAUCUAGACACACAGUUCCUGACGCUUCAUCAAUGUUGGGAUGGAAAAUUUUAUUCAUGAAUCCUAUAGAUGGAGACUUGAAAGGGUAUUUAUCAGGAAGGUCCACUCUCACUUUCCACACCCCGCCUUCAUAUGGUGUUUCUUGUGGUCCGUAAAACUUGACAACGAAUUCAUUGAGUCCUCCUAGGAUUGUAACCUCAUGUUUGCUUUCAAUGAGCUUGACUACGUCCGUGUCCAUCCGCCUCUUGCCGGGACUGGGGGAUGACAUGGUGUCGCCGCUGCCGCUGCCUCCCGGUCGCCUGCGCCGCCGCCGCCUCUCUCCCCUCCUUGGCCCGUCUGUCACGGGCUCCGGGCCCAGCUCGCAGGGCCCCGCGGCCUCGCCGGCUCCUCGGCCGAGGUGGCAACACCCACGCGGUCCCGUGGGGUCCGCUCAGCCGCCGCCCCCCGCACGGGGGAACACCGGGCACUGCCCCGCCGAGUGGGGACGGGGACCGAGGCGCCCGCUAGGGCUGCCCUCCGACUGAGGCUCCGCCGCGGCCCGGGCUGCCGCUGCUCCGCGCCGUGCGCCGCUCCCUCCCGCCUGCGCUAGCUCGUUCGCCUGCCAGCCCGCUCGCUCACGCUCUCGCCAGCUCCCAGCUGCUUCCUCCACAAGCCGACGACUCCAGCUCGGUCGACCUCUC
rnacentral:lncRNA from 1 species